AUUUCUACUGCUGCACCGAGAGGACACCCAUCUCUGUGGACUUGGAAUUCCCGGAGAGCUGCAUUUAUGAACAACUGGCAAUGAUUUCCUAAGUCCUACCCUCUUCAUUGUCCUUUGUGUUGUAUUUUGGAACAUCCAAAAACU
rnacentral:other from 1 species